rnacentral:lncRNA from 1 species
UUGUAAUAAAAUUCUCCUUUGGGAUUUAUCACCUCGUCCACUAGUGUUUCCUGGAUUGUCACAAGCCUUUCCUUCUCCAAGAGUUCUUCGCGAAUCUGCCACAUCUGUAAUUUGGAAAUAUGUGAAUGUUACACCAACAAUUAAAUAAAAGGAGCUAGAAAACGAUUAAUAAUUAAUAGGUUUAUUUUACGUAUAGUUAUAUCAUCCGAUAGCACCUUGUCUCUCACGAAUGUGCUCGCAGAUAUAGUAUCCACAUAAAUUAUUUCCUUGUUUGUGUCUCAACAACUUUAGUGGAAAAAACAAGUUAUGAAAUUAUAGAAUGUAUAAAAUGUGCAAACUUCAUACAUACUGGAAAAGUUGUACUGAAUGUAAGUUUUUCUUUGAAAUCACCAUGGUGAGUCUUACAGAAUCAUUUCCAUGCACUGCGAAUUAAAAUAAUGAAUGAAACAGUGUUAGGUGAAAAUUUAGGAAAAAAACUUUUGCAUAGAGAUAAAGAUAUUACAAGUUAAGCAUGUCUUGAAUGUCUUGGUACUCGUCCUCUGGUUUCCUCAACGAAUCAAACACAAUAACCUUGCUUUGAUCAUUCAUAAUUAUAAGGAGAAUCCAGUGGAAA